UGGGGAAUAUUGCACAAUGGGCGAAAGCCUGAUGCAGCGACGCCGCGUGAGGGAUGACGGCCUUCGGGUUGUAAACCUCUUUCAGUAGGGACGAAGCGCAAGUGACGGUACCCGCAGAAGAAGCACCGGCUAACUACGUGCCAGCAGCCGCGGUAAUACGUAGGGUGCGAGCGUUGUCCGGAAUUACUGGGCGUAAAGAGCUCGUAGGCGGUUUGUCACGUCGUCUGUGAAAUCCUAGGGCUUAACCCUGGACGUGCAGGCGAUACGGGCUGACUUGAGUACUACAGGGGAGACUGGAAUUUCUGGUGUAGCGGUGGAAUGCACAGAUAUCAGGAAGAACACCGAUGGCGAAGGCAGGUCUCUGGGUAGUAACUGACGCUGAGGAGCGAAAGCAUGGGUAGCGAACAGG
rnacentral:rRNA from 1 species